AGUCUUAUAGUCAAAAUAAAUUUGAUAUAAAAUUGCAAAUUUUAAGGGGGAAAAAUUCUUAAGGCUU
rnacentral:tRNA from 1 species